rnacentral:lncRNA from 1 species
UUUCAGGCUUCGAGUCCCGCCGGCCUUCCAGGAGGAGUCCAUGGAGCGCCGCACAUUAUUCUGAACAUGGUGUGUAAGCGCGCAUUUUUCAUUUCCAUUUUUUUAACAAGCGGCUUUAGCACCUAUUCAUAUACACCAGGGCCGGCGGAUGUCCCAUUCCUGAACGAGCUGUGCAUCGAAGGCUGUCCAGUCAGAGUCCACGGGGGAGAUGGCGUUGAACAGCACCCGUCCUGUGGCCGUGUCGGCAGCACUUCCACAUUCAACCGCCGAUAGUCCUGUCAGCAGGAGGGUCUUCAAUAAGCGCCAUAUGCUUUUCCGCGUCUGCCUUCCACUACUACCCGUGACAAGGACAUCGAGCUGGCUCCUUCAUAUUGGUUCCAAUGUAUACGUUCUUGAGGUCCCCUGGGCAACACACGUCACAUGACUGAACUUACUGCCGCCUUCGCACUGCUUCGCUGAUGGCAUCAUCGAGGGAGACUGCAAAUUGCUGCUACUCGUGAAAUUCUGUUGCUUCUCAGAGUCCAUCGCUACCAGUGACAAAGACAUGGAGCUGGCUCCAGGAGACUGGUUCUAAUGCCUACGUUCUUGAGGCCCUCGGGGCACCACUCGUCGUAUGGCCGAACUUACUGCCACAUUUGCACUGCUU